CGCACACUCACCGCCCGCCACCCCCUCUCUCAUGGCCCCCUUCAUCAUCGGAGCAUCCGGAGAAAUUUUUCUGUCAAUUGAUGGACUACGAAAGCUCGUCUGCUAAUUUACCAUAUGCCCACCCUUCUCAAUGAGAUUUGGAACCCCAACCCCAAUCUCAAAUGCCCACUCUUCUCUUUGAAAGGACUGAUGCCUCACUCUUUGCUGUUUCUUCCACUUCUAUUUUAUUAGUGGAAUGGGCAUAUUGACGUGUAGGUGAAGCCUACAACUUGAAUUCAUAUACUGAGUCCAUGUACCCGAGUCCAUGUACUUGAAUUCAUUUACAGAAUCCAUGUACUUGAAUGUUGCCGAUGCUUCAAAGUUAUCAUCAGGGUGGAGUAGAUAUGCCGAAUUCACCUUGACUAUCGUUAAUCAAUUUAACAGUGACAAGUCGAUAACAAUAGACACUCAGCAUCAAUUCAGUGCAAAAAUAAGUGAUUGUGGCAUCAUUCAUUAAUUUCAGGGGAUUAGGGAAAAUAGAUAAAGCUUUUGUUCCACUGCUGGAAGAAGUCUGUUUGUGGCAUCCUUCGUUGAUUAGCUGCCAAAGGAAAAGAAGUCG